UUGAAGAUAAAAUAUGGGUGGAUUUGGACUUGCAACUGGGUAAACUAAUAAUAUGAGAGAAGACGUUGCCUUUAUGUCAAAAGUUGGUCAAAGUUUAUCGAUAGGUAACUAAAGAGACAGCAGUGUGGAACACAUGAAGACAAAGUCAACACACCCUUCACCUGCAGGCCUCCUGGACAACUGAGAGAAGAUGAUGAAAUGUAGAGUAUUGUGACAAACACUUCAAAACAAUGAAUCUUUGAUGUAUGAAGAUCAUCUCUCUUGUACAGUCUGGUAGUCUAUCUGAUAUAGAAGGAAAAUUACAAAGAUUGGCUUCAAUUUAAAUUUAUUUUUUUCUCUGCUUAAAUGUCAGAGGCUGGUUAAUCUGGAUGAAGAGAGCAGUUUCCUCAACCUCCCUGAACUAUUUCUCUACCUCAGACCUGCCUUUCGAGCUCUGAAGAAGCUCUGCUCCAAAUCCACGUCGCAGACUAGUACCAUCUGAAUGGCUGAUGAGCAGAUAGUAUCAGCUGUGGAUGGGUACUGGGCUUGUUGGGCCGAGUACUUCAGGCGGACAGCUCCUUCUUGCUGAUUGCAGAUGGCUGCUGCUUAUCCACCAGCAAAUAAAACUCCACCCUCUCUUGCAGAAGUGAGAGGGGCUGUGAGGAAGUUGAAGGGGGGAAAGGCAGCUGGAGUUUGUAAUACUGAUUUGGAGAUGCUGAAAGCUGGGGGUGAAGCCAUCAUCCACAGGUUGCAUGCAGUGCUGUUUGCCAUGCAGCACUCCAGUGCCAUUCCUCCCAACUGGAAAAAGGGGUUGGCUAUCCCUCUCUGGAGAGGGAAAGGGGUCUGACAGGACUGCAACAAUAUCAUUGGUAGUACAGCAAAGUGCUGGCUCAUCUGCUGCUGAUGGGAAUUUGAUCUCAUCUGCUAAAGUUUCCGAGACCUGAGAAAUCUGGGUUCACACCCGGCAAGUCAACAACUGACUGGAUCCUAGCACUUUGCGUCCUUGUGAAAUAUUGACGCAAGUUUUGAUAGCGGCUACUUGCUGCCUAUGUUGAUCUCAAGAAGGUUUUUGAGUAGUGCGUUGUGAGACACUGGGACAUUAUACUGAUCCAUGGGAUUCCUGGGAUUCCUGCAAAGAAUCUUGACCUGAUGUAUGACAAUUAUGUUGGGACUGAGAGUGCUUUGAAGGGUGGGGUAGACUUUUCUGGUUUCUUCCCUGUUAUUUCAGGAAUGCAUCCUUGCUCUAUCACUAUUAAGCACUUGCACGCACAGGAUAUUAGGUAAAUUUGUUGAUCAAAAUUGUUGUGAUGGAGCAUAUUGUUGAUGAUAUCAAAGGCUAAAACCAUGGUCCAGUCAUUUAGAGGGUUGCUGGAUGGCACAUUUCAAUCUGUUCAUGCAUGUUGUGAGGUCACCAAAAGUUUCACAUACCUUGGUAGUGUAGUUUAUAAAAUGGUGGAUAUUAUUAGGUGGUCAAUUGAUGGAGUUAUGGACUCACUCCAUAUGAGUAUUGUUUAUAUCUAUGCAGGCAGACAAUGAUUCAAAUCUUUAAUUUGCUUGCACUCCCUGCUUUACUGCAUGGCUGUGGGUCACUGAAUAGUAAUUUGGAGAGGCGAGGCGAUGCCUUCGGUACUAAGUGCCUUUGUAGGAAUAUGGGUAACGCUGGAAUGGUCAAACCAGCGACUACUUGAUAAAACUGAAUAAAGGCUUGUUACCAGCUUAGUCCGUGAAUGCCAACUCCUGCUAUAUGGGCAUGUGGCAUGCUUCCUGGAUGUUGAUUCUGCUCUUGUUUUAUUUUUUAUAUGAGACAAUCCUGAUUGGAGGAGACCAAGGGGGUGCACCCCCUCUCCCCCCACUUAGAUAUCGACUAAGCUUACACUGGCAUUGACUGGAAUGCCUAGAAUUGCUUCUAUUCCAGGGAGGGUUGGUGUGCUCCCUAGCCAGCCAGCCAGCCAGCCGCACGUCCAAACAUUGGACUUCUGCUUGGCAUGCCAGCCAGUGACGUACCACAAAAUGCUUGAUGCACCAGACCUUGGGAUGGUACCUAAUCCACUGCACAUAAUUGCAAGAGAUACUCACACACAAGAAGGAUGCACCACACGACAAUGGUGAUGAGGACCCCCAUGGGCAGCUUGAAGGAGAUGUGACCCACUUCAGGCAGCUGACAGUGCUGGCCGCUGAACCCCGCUGGACACAAGCACACGUACCCUGUGUGUGUGUGAACCACUUCUGUAACACAUGACAUGACAUCCUGCAUGCGUUAUGCACGUGACUACGAUGUAAGAAUUGUAACAAAAAUACCCAUGUUAUGGUAAAAAAUAUGAAAAUGUUUCAUCAGAA